rnacentral:rRNA from 1 species
CAAUAGCGUAUAUUAAAGUUGUUGCAGUUAAAAAGCUCGUAGUUGGAUUUCGGGGCAGCCUGGCUGGUCCGCCGCAAGGCGAGUACUGGUCAGCCGCCCUUCCUCUCGAAAGCCCCGACGGCUCUUCGUUGCAGUGGUCGGGUAGUUCGGGACGUUUACUUUGAAAAAAUUAGAGUGUUCAAGGCAGGCCUACGCCUGAAUACAUUAGCAUGGAAUAAUGGAAGAGGACCUCGGUCCUAUUUUGUUGGUUUCCAGGGCCGAAGUAAUGAUUAAGAGGGACAGUUGGGGGCAUUCGUAUUUAAUUGUCAGAGGUGAAAUUCUCGGAUUUAUGAAAGACGAACAACUGCGAAAGCAUUUGCCAAGGAUGUUUUCAUUAA